rnacentral:lncRNA from 1 species
CUGCUACGCAUAUAAUCACCUCUGCAUCAAGCAAGAACAUAGCAGCAGCAAGUCUACAUUGAAAUCACUUUAAUGAUGUGCUGAACAAGAAAGAUGGAGAAUCCAGAGGCAAGGCAGUCCCUAAUCCUGUCGCUGGCUGUAGGAUUCCCAGCUGUCAAAAAUCAAGGAUCCAGCCACAGUGCUGCUUCAACGUCGCUGUAACAGAGGGGCUGACAGCACAGUACCUGUACAUUUUGAAAACAGGUUUGUGGGAAAUGAACACUUCCUGUGCUGUAUAUAGCGAUGCUGGGUGACGUAGCCUGUGCAUUCAGAUUAGAUGACCUCUUCAACCAUGCACUAUUAUCACAACUACGUAGAUCCCUGAAACACUGUGAGUCAUGGUGGGCAUUUAUCAUACAAAACCAUGAGGAUUGGUGCUGUGGGAAAUUGAGAAGACCACAGUGAGCAGUAAGUAAUCAUCUGAUGACACCUUGCAUAACAGGUUU